GCAGCUCAGUGCCAGUUAGUUUGUGUAAACUGUCUAAGAAGGGAAGUGAUGUCUCCAUUUUGGCUCUAAGCUUGAAAUCCCUUCAUAUCUUCACACACAUCUCUGACUCUGAUCCAUCUACGAUGCACACAUCAUGGAUCAGUCCGUUUUAUUGGAUUCUCUCUGGUGCUGCUUUUCUGCUGGCAAAGAGUCUUAUUAGUGUUGUGUGUGUGUGUGUGUGUGUGUGUGUGUGUGUGUGUGUGUGUGUGUGUGUGAUACACGUGGAUGAAGGCAGAAAGCAGACACAGUGUGUGGUGUGAAACAGCAGUGAGAUCCAGCUGUAGUGAGCAGGAGAGACGGUGGCAGCAGGAAGGGUGGAUGAUGGAGGAGAAGAAAGAUGUAGUUUUCAUGUCUUCUCUCUCGUCUGCUUUUGGAAUUAAAUGUCAGCAGUAAGUGAUGACGCUCUCCACACUGUAAUGCUGCGUUCAGGACGAGUCGUGACUUGGAAAUGUGCGACGUCCUCCCGGGAAAAGUGCAAUGGAGCGCCACUGGAAGGAGGAAUUCCUCCUGGUGAACUCUGGGUACAUUUAUGUCCCCUGACUUCACGAGGGAGCAGUCGUCUGACGUCACACAAUGCUGGCAGCACCCAUGGGAGGGUGGUAGGGUGUAGACAGCAGUAUUUGUAAAAGGCUCGUGAAGGAAAUGUGUAGAUAUGUUUCCAAGUGUUAAAGUGCUGUAAGAUAAAACACAUCAUGGGGUCUGUAACCUCAUGUGUCCUCUGGCUCAUUUUUAAUGCUCUGAGGCUGCACUGCUGAGGCUGCAGGUGUAUGUCCACUUGCCAGAGAGACAUCAUUUUAUCUCAGUCAUUAACAGAAUCAUAUCUUGGGUUCACUUUUGUCAUCUCGCUCCUGGAACUCUUUGAGUUUUGAAGUUUCCUCCAGGAAAUUCCAGCCUGUGACACCAUGAGGCGUUCAGGGUCAGUGCUGUGGUCAGACUGUGGUCGUACUGGGCAGCUCCCAGACGGACAGUGGACUGGUUACAAGAGACGUUUGAGACGUUUCAGUUGAUAUCGACCUCUUUUGCCAUGAAAACACGUCAUUGUUGGAACUUGCUUGAAGUCAAAAUGACGUCAACCAUUUUUAUCUCAAAGAUGAACUGUAAACUUGUAGAGGAUCUGAUCAUCUUCUGUUUUGUUGUUCUCCAGAACGUCCUCCUCCAUCUCCUCUCAGGAAAACACUAAACCACAUCUCUGAUUCACUCUACAGACGCAGGCAGAGUGCACUAUCUCUCCUGGCGUCAUUUCCCCAAAGCUGCACAUGACUGACAGUGGAAUCAUGAAUCUGUGGCUGAGCCGUUGUUUCCUCUGAGGGCAGCGCUGACGCCCGUCUCUCUGCAGAGCGUCUUUAAACUCGUCGUCCGCUCAGACUUCAUCGAUUCGGACGUCGACCCUGUUCGUCUUGUCAAAGUGCAGCCGAUGAGCUGGAGAGAGAGACGGAGGAUAAGAUGAUGGAGGAAAUGAACAUCAAUAUAGUCGGGCGGACUGACCGAGUACAGUCUCUGUGCAGGAAACACCGAGCUGGUGUUUGAUGGGACGUUUUGCUUUUUCAUUAAUAAGUGAAGUAGGUAAUCAGCUCAGCUGCUUGUUUUACAGCGAGCACUUCUUCCUAAUGAGCAUCAGCUCUAAUCACACAGGUAGAUCACUGUUCACCUCCUCGCUCUCCCUCUAACAAGACAAACCUGACAAAGUGUGAAUCAUAAUUUAUUCUCACUGCUCUGUUUGGUUUCUCAUCAGUUUUCUUCAGUAAGUUGAACAAAUGAAUGUCAAAUAAACCUCCUUUAUGAUAAUUGUUAAAGAGAUACUGCUGCAGAUGUUGUAUGAAUAUUUCUCUUUAAUAAAGAAGAUAAAUGCA